GAUGAAGAACGUAGCGAAAUGCGAUAAGUAAUGCGAAUUGCAGAAUUCCAGUGAGUCAUCGAAUCUUUGAACGCACAUUGCGCCCUUUGGUAUUCCGAAGGGCAUGCCUGUUCGAGCGUCAUUAUCACCCCUCAAGCCCUCGGCUUGGUGUUGGACGGUUUGGUGGAGGCCCCCUCGGGGGCUCCUGCCCCUCCCAAAGACAAUGACGGCGGCCUCGUUGGACCCCCGGUACACUGAGUUCUUCACGGGACACGUAUCGGACACAUGGGUUUACGGGACACGGUCUGCCUCCCCUCAGGGAGAAUCUUUCUAAGGUUGACCUCGGAUCAGGUAGGGAUACCUGCUGAACUUAAGCAUAUCAAUAAGCGGAGGA
rnacentral:misc_RNA from 1 species